UACAGAGGGGGCAAGCGUUGUUCGGAAUUACUGGGCGUAAAGGGCGCGUAGGCGGCCUUCUAAGUCGAACGUGAAAUCCCCGGGCUCAACCCGUGAACUGCGUCCGAUACUGGAAGGCUUGAAUCCGGGAGAGGGAUGUGGAAUUCCAGGUGUAGCGGUGAAAUGCGUAGAUAUCUGGAGGAACACCGGUGGCGAAGGCGGCAUCCUGGACCGGUAUUGACGCUGAGGCGCGAAAGCCAGGGGAGCAAACGAG
rnacentral:rRNA from 1 species